rnacentral:misc_RNA from 1 species
UCCGGUUUGUCACCGGCAGUCUCCUUAGAGUUCCCGCCAUUACGCGCUGGCAACUAAGGACAAGGGUUGCGCUCGUUACGGGACUUAACCCAACAUCUCACGACACGAGCUGACGACAGCCAUGCAGCACCUGUCACUCGGUUCCCGAAGGCACCCCCGCAUCUCUGCAGGGUUCCGAGGAUGUCAAGACCUGGUAAGGUUCUUCGCGUUGCAUCGAAUUAAACCACAUGCUCCACCGCUUGUGCGGGCCCCCGUCAAUUCAUUUGAGUUUUAACCUUGCGGCCGUACUCCCCAGGCGGUCUACUUAUUGCGUUAGCUGCGCCACCAAGUCCUCAAGGAACCCGACGGCUAGUAGACAUCGUUUACGGCGUGGACUAC